rnacentral:rRNA from 1 species
AAGAACCUUACCUAGGCUUGACAUCCCUGGAAUUUGUGGAACACAAAGUGCCUUUCGGGGAACCAGGAGACAGGUGCUGCAUGGCUGUCGUCAGCUCGUGUCGUGAGAUGUUGGGUUAAGUCCCGCAACGAGCGCAACCCUUGCCUUUAGUUGCCAGCACGUUAUGGUGGGCACUCUAGAGGGACUGCCGGUGACAAACCGGGGAAGUGGGGAUGACGUCAAAUCAUCAUGCCCCUUAUGAUCUGGGCUACACACGUGCUACAAUGGCCGGUACAACGAGAAGCGAAACCGCGAGGUGAAGCAAAUCUUUUAAAGCCGGUCCCAGUUCGGAUUGCAGGCUGAAACUCGCCUGCAUGAAGUUGGAGUUGCUAGUAAUCGCGGAUCAGCAUGCCGUGGUGAAUGCGUUCCCGGGUCUU